rnacentral:snRNA from 1 species
GUGCUCACUUUGGCAGCACAUAUACAAAAAUUGGAACGAUACAGAGAAGAUUAGCAUGGCCCCUGCACAAGGAUGACAUGCAAAUUCGUGAAGUGUUCCGUAUUUUU